GGGUCCUUAGUUCAGUGGUAGGGCAUUUGACUACAGAUCAAGAGGUCACCAGUUCGAACUUGGUAGGGCCCU